rnacentral:tRNA from 1 species
AGGAAUGUGGCUUAGUGGUAGAGUGCUUGCCUAGCAAGCAUGAGGCCAUGGGUUUGAUUCCUCAGUACCA